CUCGUGAUCAUCGUCCUCUGUGUGAAGAGAGGGAGGCUCUGUGCACACUGCAGAGAUUCUCCAGAUAAUAUUAAUAGUACACAGUGUGAGAUGUCAGAAAAUAUGGGCACACGUGCAGAUGUCAACUACGCAGCACUGAACUUCUACUCUAGAAAAGUGAAACGG